rnacentral:rRNA from 1 species
CAAUGGCGGUAGCACUCGUGUCGUGAGAUGUUGGGUUAAGUCCCGCAACGAGCGCAACCCUUUUCCUUAUUUGCCAGCGGGUUAAGCCGGGAACUUUAAGGAUACUGCCAGUGACAAACUGGAGGAAGGCGGGGACGACGUCAAGUCAUCAUGGCCCUUACGACCAGGGCUACACACGUGCUACAAUGGUCGGUACAAAGGGUUGCUACCUAGCGAUAGGAUGCUAAUCUCAAAAAGCCGAUCGUAGUCCGGAUUGGAGUCUGCAACUCGACUCCAUGAAGUCGGAAUCGCUAGUAAUCGCGGAUCAGAAUGCCGCGGUGAAUACGUUCCCGGGCCUUGUACACACCGCCCGUCACACCAUGGGAAUUUGUUGCACCAGAAGUAGGUAGUCUAACCGCAAGGAGGACGCUACCACGGGACCA